rnacentral:misc_RNA from 1 species
AACGCACAUUGCGCCCCUUGGUAUUCCAGGGGGCAUGCCUGUUCGAGCGUCAAUACACCCUUCAAGCCUCAGCUUGGUGAUGGGCUCCAGUGUCCCCUGGACAAGCCUGAAAAGCAGCGGCGGCCUGGCCCGACUCCAAGUGUAGUACCUUCAAAACCCGCUUGGGAAGCCCGGGUCAUGGCCGGCCGGUCAACCAGAUUUCGUACCUAUAGACCUCGGAUCAGGUAGGGAUACCCGCUGAACUUAA